rnacentral:lncRNA from 1 species
AUGUGGUUUUUGCAGGCGCUGUCCUUUAAGUUUAAAAAUUACACUCUAUGUCCUUUAUGUUUGCGACCUAUAACAGGCGGUGUCCUUUCUUAUAAACUCGGUUAACUUUUUUAUGUUAAAACCCCUCAUCUUAACAGCAGGGACCAUAUGUGUAACUUUGUAAACAUGAGGGGCCUUUAAUGUUAAAAUAAUUGCAUUCCAUCUUUCAGGGACUAAUUAUGUAAAUUAAUUAAAUACCUAUCAUUUUAUUAAAAUAAUUAUUUUAAUAACAAAAGAUUUAGAAAAAAAAAAACUAUAAACUCUGUCUCACCUCUCUCCAACUCAUCACCACCACCAUCCACCCCACACCUGCUACUGCCAUCCACCAUUGUUAACCCCCAACAACCUGCACGCAGCAGUCGAAUUAAACCCCUGUUCACCAUCUCCCUAUAUUAAACCCCAAAAAAAACCUGGUGUUUAUGGUUUUCAUGACGUCGGAUCUGAGAACAGACUUCAUCAACGUUCGUCGCAUCUGAAUGGUCUUCAUCAACGAACCUCGGAUCUGAAGAAAUGUCGUUUCCGGUUUAGAAGUAUGGUGUCAGUUUAAAAAAUAUGAUGUGAUCUGAAGAACACUCGGAUCUGAAUGCUCUUCAUCAACCUAAUCGAAGUCGUUUUUCCGGUUCCCGGACUUCAACUUCGCCGGAAUCGACUUAGUGAGUUAUGGCCGGAGAUUAUCGGUGAUGUACCGUUUUUAGUGAGUUAGGGUUAGGGUUUGGUGAUGAGGGUGGAACGAUGUCGUUUGAAUGGGAUUCGGUGUUGACGAUGGUGGGUAAUUCGUAAAAAGCACUUGCAUUGGAAAAGUUGGCUUAACUUGUUCUGUUUAAUCCUAAAAGAGCUAACAGGUUUGUAAGUGCAGUUUUGUAUGGUGACCGGUGGCGGUGAAUGUCAAUAAAAGGUUUAUGAUAAGUGAUGAUGCCCGGCGAAGAGAGGUGGGACGUCGUGAUCAAUAGUCAUAAGGAUGAAAAACAUGACCAGGUAAUUGAUGGUACGUAGAUAGUGCGCCAUGGGUACCGGUAGAUGGAGUAGGUGAUUGUAUUGUC